AGAGGGGGCAAGCGUUGCUCGGAAUUACUGGGCGUAAAGGGCGCGUAGGCGGGAUGGCAAGUCGGUCGUGAAAUCCCUCGGCUCAACCGAGGAACGUCGAUCGAUACUGCUGUUCUUGAGGAUUGCAGAGGAGACUGGAAUUCCCGGUGUAGCGGUGAAAUGUGUAGAGAUCGGGAGGAACACCGGUGGCGAAGGCGGGUCUCUGGGCAAUUCCUGACGCUGAGGCGCGAAAGCGUGGGGAGCAAACGGGAUUAGAUACCCCGGUAGUCCACGCUGUAAACGAUGAGCACUAGGUGUGGGGGGGUUCAGUCCCUUCCGUGCCGCAGCUAACGCAUUAAGUGCUCCGCCUGGGGAGUACGGCCGCAAGGUUG
rnacentral:rRNA from 1 species